GGAGAUUUAGCUCAGCGACAUAAGCACCUGCCUUGCAAGCAGGCGGUGAUAGUUCAAUCUCUG
rnacentral:tRNA from 1 species